rnacentral:rRNA from 1 species
GACGAACGCUGGCGGCAUGCCUAAUACAUGCAAGUCGAGCGAACAGAUGAAGUGCUUGCACUUCUGACGUUAGCGGCGAACGGGUGAGUAACACGUAAGGAAUCUACCUAUAAGCGGGGGAUAACAUUCGGAAACGGGUGCUAAUACCGCAUAAUAUCUUCUUCCGCAUGGAAGAAGAUGGAAAGACGUCUUUGCUGUCACUAAUAGAUGACAUUGCGGUGCAUAAGUUAGUUGGUGGGGUAACGGCCUAUCAAGACGAUGAUGCAUAGACGAACUGCGAGGGUGAUCGGCCACAUUGGGACGGAGACACGGCCCAGCACCCGACGGGAGGCAGCAGUAGGGAAUCUUAGGCAAUGGACGAAAGCCUGACGGAGCAAUGCCGCGUGAGUGAAGAAGGCCUUCGGGUCGUAAAACUCUGUUAUAAGAGAAGAACAAAUUGUAGAGUAACUGCUACAGUCUUGACGGUAUCUUAUCAGAAAGCCACGGCUAACUACGUGCCAGCCGCCGCAGUAA